CACAUCUUCAGUUUCUUCUCAGCUGCAGGACAUUUGUACUAAAGUUUUUGUUGCAGCUAUGGGAGGUGGCUCUUCAAAACGUCCGAAAACCCCAACACCUUCCCCACUCUUUGCAGCUCUGGGAAAUACCCUUUCAAAACCUCGGACCCCACCACCUUC